CGACCUUAGGAGGGAGCACCCUUGCCCUC
rnacentral:sRNA from 1 species